rnacentral:rRNA from 1 species
UACGAAGGGGGCUAGCGUUGUUCGGAUUUACUGGGCGUAAAGCGCGCGUAGGCGGGUUGUUAAGUCGGGGGUGAAAUCCUGGAGCUCAACUCCAGAACUGCCUUCGAUACUGGCAACCUUGAGGCCGGGAGAGGUGUAUGGAACUCCUAGUGUAGAGGUGGAAUUCGUAGAUAUUAGGAAGAACACCAGUGGCGAAGGCGAUACACUGGCCCGGAUCUGACGCUGAGGCGCGAAAGCGUGGGGAGCAAACAGG